GGGUGUCGCCUAGUGGUAGGGCAAUGGCCUUCCAAGCCAUCUGGGUGGGUUCGAUUCCCAUCACCC
rnacentral:tRNA from 1 species